CUUACGUCCUCUGAUGUAACUUUGGUUUUUACCUCCCGACAAACACGUUAGGAUACGGCCCGUGUGUUUCCUCUACACCUCAGAGGAAUGUAAAGGAAACACGCUUUGGAGCCUGAGCGUCCUCCCUGCAGAGAACAGAAGAUACAGACCGUUUACAGCAACACAGAGGACCCAACCAGAACCAUCUCACACUGUAAACAACAAAUGACUUCUUCUGAAAAAGAAGCAGAUAACGACAAGGAAGAGAGCGCCAAAUAUUGAGCCCACUACAGCCCCAACGAUCAUCCCCACGUUGUUGGCUACAGGAAGAAACAUGGGACA